rnacentral:misc_RNA from 1 species
AACGCACAUUGCGCCCGCCAGUAUUCUGGCGGGCAUGCCUGUCCGAGCGUCAUUUCAACCCUCAGGGCCCGUCCGCGGGACCUGGUGUUGGGGAUCGGCCGCCCCCCGCGGCGGCCGGCCCCGAAAUACAGUGGCGGCUCCACCGCGCGAUCUCCUCUGCGUAGUACAACACGUCGCAGCUGGGCUCGCGGUGGCGGCCUCGCCGUAAAACCCCCAACUUCUCCAUGGUUGACCUCGGAUCAGGUAGGAAUACCCGCUGAACUUAA